GAGCGAUGAUGAGUGAAGCGGACUCUGACCUGGUAUUGCCCAGUUUGUCUGGCUCUGACCAGGGCGUGAUCACAAGAUCUUCUCUCUGAGCCG
ensembl:snoRNA SNORD7 Z30 small nucleolar RNA